GGGGAAUUUUCCGCAAUGGGCGAAAGCCUGACGGAGCAAUACCGCGUGAGGGAGGAAGGCUUUUGGGUUGUAAACCUCUUUUAUCAGGGAAGAAGAAAGUGACGGUACCUGAGGAAAAAGCAUCGGCUAACUCCGUGCCAGCAGCCGCGGUAAUACGGAGGAUGCAAGCGUUAUCCGGAAUUAUUGGGCGUAAAGCGUCCGUAGGUGGUACCUCAAGUCGGCUGUUAAAGACCAGGGCUUAACUCUGGGCAGGCAGUGGAAACUGAGGAACUAGAGGGCAGUAGGGGUAGAGGGAAUUCCCGGUGUAGCGGUGAAAUGCGUAGAUUUCGGGAAGAACAUCGGUGGCGAAGGCGCUCUACUGGACUGAACCUGACACUGAGGGACGAAAGCUAGGGGAGCGAAUGGGAUUAGAUACCCC
rnacentral:rRNA from 2 species